rnacentral:rRNA from 1 species
CGCAUCUGUGCAUGCAGCAUAUCAAUAAGCGGAGGAAAAGAAACUAACAAGGAUUCCCCUAGUAACGGCGAGUGAAGCGGGAAGAGCUCAAAUUUGAAAUCUUAAAGGGUUUCCCUUUACGAAUUGUAGUUUAAAGAAGUGUUUUCUGUUGAGGUUUUGGUAAAAGUUCUUUGGAAUAGGACAUCAUAGAGGGUGAGAAUCCCGUAUUUGACCUUUACUUUCAACUUUGUGAUACACUUUCAAAGAGUCGGAUUGUUUGGGAAUGCAGUCCAAAAUGGGUGGCUAAAUUUCAUCUAAAGCUAAAUAUUGGCGAGAGACCGAUAGCGAACAAGUACCGUGAGGGAAAGAUGAAAAGAACUUUGAAAAGAGAGUUAAACAGUACGUGAGAAUUGUCAAAAGGGAAGCGUUUGACACCAGUGUUGUUUUUCUGAAAAUCAAUUAAAGAACUGUUUAUGCUAAGUUGUUUAGACUUUAUCAGCUAACUGUUUAGUUUUGAGCUUUUCUUUAAUGCACUUUUCAGUUAACAAGUCAACAUCAAUUUCUUUUGCUGUAAAAAAGCUUGAGGAAGGUGGCUUGAGAUUCGUCUUAAGUGUUUAUAGCCUCUUGCCUAUGCAGUCGGAGAGAUUGAGGUCUGCAGCGUAGAUCCUUCGGGGCUAAAUGCAUUUGUGCUAAGUUAUAGCAUUUUAUAGACAACUUGUUGACUAUGAUUUGUCUUGUAGCUUACUCGCUUAUGUUAUUUUACCUACGCUUAGGAUGUUGACAGCAGUAUAGACUGU